AGAGUUUGAUCAUGGCUCAGGAUGAACGCUGGCGGCGUGCCUAAUACAUGCAAGUCGAACGCUUUGUCUUUAAUUGAUCUGACGAGCUUGCUCUAAUUUGAUUUUAUCUGACAAAGAGUGGCGAACGGGUGAGUAACACGUGGGUAACCUACCUCUUAGCAGGGGAUAACAUUUGGAAACAAGUGCUAAUACCGUAUAAUACCAACAACCGCAUGGUUGUUGGUUGAAAGAUGGUUCUGCUAUCACUAAGAGAUGGACCCGCGGUGCAUUAGCUAGUUGGUAAGGUAAAGGCUUACCAAGGCAAUGAUGCAUAGCCGAGUUGAGAGACUGAUCGGCCACAAUGGGACUGAGACACGGCCCAUACUCCUACGGGAGGCAGCAGUAGGGAAUCUUCCACAAUGGGCGCAAGCCUGAUGGAGCAACGCCGCGUGUGUGAUGAAGGGUUUCGGCUCGUAAAACACUGUUAUAAGAGAAGAACGGCACUGAGAGUAACUGUUCAGUGUGUGACGGUAUCUUACCAGAAAGGAACGGCUAAAUACGUGCCAGCAGCCGCGGUAAUACGUAUGUUCCAAGCGUUAUCCGGAUUUAUUGGGCGUAAAGCGAGCGCAGACGGUUAUUUAAGUCUGAAGUGAAAGCCCUCAGCUCAACUGAGGAAUGGCUUUGGAAACUGGAUGACUUGAGUGCAGUAGAGGAAAGUGGAACUCCAUGUGUAGCGGUGAAAUGCGUAGAUAUAUGGAAGAACACCAGUGGCGAAGGCGGCUUUCUGGACUGUAACUGACGUUGAGGCUCGAAAGUGUGGGUAGCAAACAGGAUUAGAUACCCUGGUAGUCCCACACCGUAAACGAUGAGUGCUAGAUGUUCGAGGGUUUCCGCCCUUGCAGUGUCGCAGCU
rnacentral:rRNA from 1 species